UUUCCGUAGGUGAACCUGCGGAAGGAUCAUUAUCAUGUAAUUCAGUCCCCUUGGCUGUGUUAUAUAUAUACCCACUCUGUGUACCUUCUCCUGUUGCUUCCGCUGGGUGUGUAAUUCGCCCGGCGGAAGGGUAAAAAUAACCUCUGAGUAUUGAUGAAAUCUCUGUCUGAACCGAAUAGAAAGAAAAAUGUUAAAACUUUCAGCAACGGAUCUCUUGGCUCUC
rnacentral:misc_RNA from 1 species